CGAUUUAUAAACCCACUUGCAUUUCGAAGGGGGUGAAAUCCCUUGAAAUCCAGCCAAACGGUAAUAGUAAGCUGCCAUAUGAGAGUCCUUGUCUGAAACAGCUCCCAAAGACAUUUGAAGACCAGCUUCAAACUGCGCAUCAGCAUCGCCCCAUGCCCCGCUCAACUUGAUUAAAUGCAAAGCCAGAUAACGAUCCCGCGUUAUUCCCCAUCCAUGCAUAAAACAUACGCCCAAUUCAUAAAGUAUUAAAGCUAAAAGAAGGCGUUGUUGAUUGUAUUCAGUUGAUAGCUUCUCAUUUGGAGUUGUAUCGUUUAAGCCUAAAUCAGAUGAAUGGAGGCAUUCGACUAGUUUGUUUAAAAGUUGUGUUGCUGUUUUCAGCAAAAAUAGAAAGGACACAUGGGUUUUCGGUGAACAAGCAAGUCCAUGACGCAAAUAAAGACCAUAGAUAAAGGUUGCCGUAUAAUCUUCGUAACUAGAAGCCAUACCGGUAUGCCAAAAGCAUUUGUCAUGAUCAUUCAGAAGAUGGAAAUGAAUUGCCAGAUUCAAAUGCUCUUCUUUUUUUAGUUGUGCAUUAUCGCUUGAUUCACUGUUAUUUCCAUUUCCAUAAGCUCCACCACGCAGGUUUGUAUACUGUACAUCUACAUAAUUUAAAUCGAUGUACCGAAUAGCAGUCAUGGUCAGCGAUUGUAAAGAAACAUCUAGUUGUUUUAAUACUGGACUGUGUAAUCUAUCCAUCAAAGAUAUAAGUAUGAACAGACAAUUAUCAGAAGAGGAAUGAUGUGGACAUGAAAUUUCGUGUAUCGAUUGAUGAAUAUUAAUGGAUUUGUUUAUUGAAACCAUAGUUUUGUUCAGAUUUGCUCGUUCCUUAUCUGACUUUUUCAGAAAAGGAGACUGUGCCUGCAAAAUGGAAAUGGUUUGUUGUCUAGAACUUGGACGAGCACAGCGAGAAACGGGAGUAGUUGGGUGGAUAGGGGUAGAGUGCUCCUUGUCAGGCUCCUUGCUUGAUUCGUUGCCAGAUUCGUUAUUAGAAACGUCCGCAGGUGAUUCGUUUUUAGCAAGUAAAUUUGAGUUUGAUAAUUCGGGAUUGGAAGAUAAUGAAUGGUUUUCCGACGUUGACAUUGACAUUAACAUACCUUUGGAAGAAGAGGAUCCAGAGAGCGGAGUACUGUCUCCCGAGGAUACUGUAUCUUUCGAUUUUAUUCUAGUAGGCAAAAUCUUAUCCGGAGAAGUCGCACUUCUCGUGAAAGCUGGUCUCUUUGGCGGUUCAGCAGGGUGUGCACUUUUAAUUGAAUUCGGUGUGGGUGAAGUGUUUGAAGCAGUUCUAGGAGGCUCAAUCUCAUGAUAAUAAGGUGCGUUAGGUGGUAACAGAGAGUUGUAAUAAUUAUCGUCAUCAAAGGAUUCAGCAAUAUUGUUUGAGUUAUAUGAGUCAAAGAUAUCGUUUGGAUGGACAUCUGGGGCAGCGCUAAAAUAAUCAAAAAAAUCUGUUUCAUCCUCCAAGUCUGGAGUUCCAAAAACACUGCUAAGUUUCUGUGCGACAAAGUAGUGUUCCGGAUCAUGAACGGUUGGGGUUCGAACAGUAAACGGAGAACUAGCUUCAGCUGGUGAAGCGGGUGAUUCGAUGUUUAAUAAGUCAGACGAAGAUCCGGAUGUUGUUUCUUUCAAAAUUUGUAAGUUGUCUUCAGAUUUGGACAUCAUAGCUCGUAAAUUGAGCUUUCGAUUCAAGUCUCUAUGUUUUAAAGCUAAAGCGUCUAGCGGUGACAGUCCGUGGUACCCACUGCGUUUGCUAUGUUCUGCUUUGUCAUCAUCGUUUCCAUCCUUUUUGUUUAAUAGAGCCGUAGUUGUAUUCAACUUGGUCAAUCCUGCGUAAGUACGGCUUUGCAUGGUCUCCAUGACACUCAAAUAUUAAGUAUCGGGAUGUAUUGAAAAAAAAAAGAACAAAAAAAUUGAGAAAAUAUAAGAAAAGAUCGAGAAAAAAAAGAAUGAAUGUGUUUAAAUAAUUAUAAGUAAAAGAAUGAAUAGCAGUUUAUACGAACGACAAAUGAAAACAACGAAUAGGAAAAACUAGGAUUUUGGGAAGGACAAUAAAUUAGCAAGAUUCAAGAGACUAACGAGCUUUAUUCAUUAAUAAGUUAUUCUUUAUUAUUUUUUAAUACUGAAAUAAUUCAAAAUGCAAAGAUCGAAAGUUUUAAGAAUUUUGCCCAAUAUAAAGAAGAGGGUAAGAUUGUGAUGGGUGGAAUAAGAAACGGGGGUUUUAUCAGUCCAUAGUGGAGGAUUAAGCUUCUAUCAGUAAGGAAAAUCCUUAUUUCGGGAAAUCGUUACGAUCGUUAUAUUUGAAAUAAAGUAGUGCACAAUAUUUAUCCCUUAAGCGUAAUAAUCUUAUACAUAUUUUAUAUAGAAAAGUGCCGUUUAUACAAGCAAACAGACAUAGCUCGGAAUGAUGCAGAAUAAAAACAUAUUGUAACUAUUGAAAAAAUGUGAAGUUUUUUUAAAUUGCUUUUUUCCGUACGUGAUUGUGUUUCGCUAACUCGCCCAGCUCUUCAGAAGAUCACUACAAGCAGUAU
rnacentral:lncRNA from 1 species